CCAUAUUCUAUCUAACAGAGUGCCUGGCAUGUACUGUAGUAGGUAAGGCACUCAAUAAAUGUUUCAAUUGAUUUAAUUAUUGCAAAAAUAGUAUUUUCUGAAAUGUAUGGUGUGGUGACUAUAUGCCAGGCAUAGUGCUGAACAUUUUAUAUGGAUUAACCAAUGUAUAUGCCUGAUGAAACACGUUUUUCUCUGACCUUCUUCUGCCCUCCUGUCUCUUUAUCUUUUUUUGGUGCACUUCUUUCCCUGCUUAUGCCAGAUAGAUGGUGUUUCUAUAUUUGUUUUUUUCUUUUCUUUUCUUUUCUUUUCUUUUUUUUUGAGACAGAGUCUCGCACUGUCACCCAGGCUGGAGUGCCGUGGCGCGAUCUCAGCUGGCAUAAUUUGCCAAUUUGAUUUAAAUAUUGGUAGCCAAAGAAGGCAAAGGUAUUAUUAUAAAAGAAGGUGGUCAAUGGAACCAUGGUGUUUUCUGGACAAAGCAAAGACACUACAUUUUUUGUCCAGAAGUAGGUAAAGGUUAUAUUAAGUGAUGAUAUCUGAUUACUCAAGUGAAGAUUAUUUGACCAUGCUUUGGAAGCCUGAUAUGAUUUGGCUCUGUCCCCACCCAAAUCCCAUUUUGAAUCGUAAUCCCCACAUGUUGGAGGAGGGGCCUGGUGGGAGGUGAUUGGAUCAUGGGAACAGAUUUCCUCCUUGCUGUUCUCAUGAUAGUGAGUAGUUCUCAAGAGAUCUGUUGGUUUUAAAGUGUUGCACUUCUCCCCUCGCUCUCCCUCUCUCUCCUGCUCCACCACGAUAAGAUGUGCCUGGCUUCCCCUUUGCUUUCUGCCCUGAUUGUAAGUUUCCUGAGGCUUCCCAAUCAUGCUUCCUGUUAAGCCCGUGGAUCUAUGAUUCAGUUAAACCUCUUUUCUUCGUAAAUUACCCAGUCUCAUGUAGUUCUUUAUAGCAAUGUGAAGACAGAAUAACACAAGACCUAUUUUUAAACAUUCAAGUUUCACAACCAUAGAAAGUUUGUACACCUCAAUUUUAGGUCCUGAUGUCUUCAUAUGAAGUUAUAGAUCUUUAUAUCCUAGUUUGCUUUCUGAAAAUAUAGCUAGAGUAUCAGAACAUAGGAAAUGGUACUUUUUUUUAACAUUUUAUUUUACAAACAUUUAUUUGCUUUCCUUAAAAGCAGGGACUGUCAGCCUAUCUUAUUUAUUUUUGUAUUCCUAGUGUUACAGGUUGGAGUCUCAAGCGCUGAGAUAGAAAUAAGAAUGCAAAAGGUUUCCUGGGAGUGGUGUUGCAUCAAAGUGGAAGCAGGAAAACAGUGUUGGGCAGGGAUUCAAGAGGUGGAGAAACAGGCUUCGCCCCAGUGGAAGGAGGUGCAAAGUCAUGUUGCAGGGGGCUUCGGUACAGGACAGGUGGGAGGAUUAGGCCCAUUUUGCAAUCAAUCAAUCAUGAACCUUGUCUUGGUUGCUGUGACUCCAGAUUCCUGAAGGAUCUGCUGAAUUAACUGUUCUAGUUCUGAUGAUGCCUCCUGGCAUUAAUGAUUCUUCUCCUAUUACCUGGUAACAUGGUAAAUAUUGUCAUUUGAUAACUGUAUCAUUCUUAAUUCUUUGUGACUUAACUGACACCCUUGAGAGAAUUCAUUCUUUAGCCAAAGCAAGCCUGACUAUUAUUAAGAAUCAUCAAUAAUAGCUUUGUCCAUAAAACUAGAACUACCAUAUGACCCAGCAAUCCCACUACUAGGUGUGAACCCAAAGGAAAGUAAAUCAGUAUGUCAAAGAGCUCUCUGCCCUCCCAUGUGCAUUGCAGCACUAUUCACAACAGCCAAGAUAUGCAAUCAACCUAGGUUUCCAUCAACAGAUGAAUGAAUUAAAAAUGUGGUGUAUAUACACAAGAGAAUACUUUUUAGCAUAAAAAAGAAGGAAAUCCUGUCAUAUGAGGCUGCAUGGAUGAGCCUAGAGGACAUUAUAUUAAGUGAAAUAAGGCCCAGAAAGACAAACUUCAAAAGGUUCUCACUCAUUUGUGGGCGCUAAAAAUUAAAACAGUUGUAUUCAUGGAGGUAGAGAGUAGAAGAAUGGUUUCUAGAGGCUGGGAAGGGUAGUGGAGGUAGUGAGAGGAAGUGGGGAAGAAUACUGCAUGCUCUCGUUCAUAUGUGGAAGCUGAAAACGCUGAUCUCACAGAAGUAGAGAGUUGAGUAGUGGUUGCCAGAGGUUGGGAAGGGUAACGGGAAGGGGUGGAUAGCCAGAGGUUGGUUACCCGAUACAAAAGUACAGCUAGACAGGAGGAAUAAGUUCUGGUGUU
rnacentral:lncRNA from 1 species